rnacentral:tRNA from 1 species
UGAAUUGUGGCUCAGUGGCAGAGCAUCUCCUUGCAUGCAGAAGGUCCCAGGUUCAAUCCUUGGUAUCUCCAGUUUAA